rnacentral:rRNA from 1 species
UACGAAGGGGGCUAGCGUUGUUCGGAAUUACUGGGCGUAAAGCGCACGUAGGCGGAUAUUUAAGUCAGGGGUGAAAUCCCAGAGCUCAACUCUGGAACUGCCUUUGAUACUGGGUAUCUUGAGUAUGGAAGAGGUAAGUGGAAUUGCGAGUGUAGAGGUGAAAUUCGUAGAUAUUCGCAGGAACACCAGUGGCGAAGGCGGCUUACUGGUCCAUUACUGACGCUGAGGUGCGAAAAGCGUGGGGAGCAAACAGG